rnacentral:rRNA from 1 species
UUCCUACGGGUGGCUGCAGUGGGGAAUAUUGCACAAUGGGCGCAAGCCUGAUGCAGCAACGCCGCGUGAGGGAUGACGGCCUUCGGGUUGUAAACCUCUUUUAGUAGGGAAGAAGCGAAAGUGACGGUACCUGCAGAAAAAGCACCGGCUAACUACGUGCCAGCAGCCGCGGUAAUACGUAGGGUGCAAGCGUUGUCCGGAAUUAUUGGGCGUAAAGAGCUCGUAGGCGGCUUGUCGCGUCUGCUGUGAAAUCCCGGAGCUCAACGCCGGGCCUGCAGUGGGUACGGGCAGGCUAGAGUGCGGUAGGGGAGAUUGGAAUUCCUGGUGUAGCGGUGGAAUGCGCAGAUAUCAGGAGGAACACCGAUGGCGAAGGCAGAUCUCUGGGCCGUAACUGACGCUGAGGAGCGAAAGCAUGGGGAGCGAACAGGAUUAGAUACCCUGGUAGUC